AAGAAAUUAGUUUUAAGAAUAAAACAUUAACUUGUCAAGUUAAAAAUAUUAAAUUUAAUAUUUCUUA
rnacentral:tRNA from 1 species